rnacentral:rRNA from 1 species
GGUAUGCUUCUUCGGAAUUAGAGACCGGCGCACGGGUGCGUAACGCGUAUGCAAUCUACCUUUUACAGAGGGAUAGCCCAGAGAAAUUUGGAUUAAUACCUCAUAGUAUUAUGAAAUGGCAUCAUUUUAUAAUUAAAGUCACAACGGUAAAAGAUGAGCAUGCGUCCCAUUAGCUAGUUGGUAAGGUAACGGCUUACCAAGGCUACGAUGGGUAGGGGUCCUGAGAGGGAGAUCCCCCACACUGGUACUGAGACACGGACCAGACUCCUACGGGAGGCAGCAGUGAGGAAUAUUGGACAAUGGGCGCAAGCCUGAUCCAGCCAUGCCGCGUGCAGGAUGACGGUCCUAUGGAUUGUAAACUGCUUUUAUACAGGAAGAAACCCUGGUUCGUGAACCAGCUUGACGGUACUGUAAGAAUAAGGAUCGGCUAACUCCGUGCCAGCAGCCGCGGUAAUACGGAGGAUCCAAGCGUUAUCCGGAAUCAUUGGGUUAAAAGGGUCCGUAGGCGGGUUAGUAAGUCAGUGGUGAAAGCCCAUCGCUCAACGGUGGAACGGCCAUUGAUACUGCUAAACUUGAAUUAUUAGGAAGUAACUAGAAUAUGUAGUGUAGCGGUGAAAUGCUUAGAGAUUACAUGGAAUACCAAUUGCGAAGGCAGGUUACUACUAAUUGAUUGACGCUGAUGGACGAAAGCGUGGGUAGCGAACAGGAUUAGAUACCCUGGUAGUCCACGCCGUAAACGAUGGAUACUAGCUGUUGGGGGCAACUUCAGUGGCUAAGCGAAAGUGAUAAGUAUCCCACCUGGGGAGUACGUUCGCAAGAAUGAAACUCAAAGGAAUUGACGGGGGCCCGCACAAGCGGUGGAGCAUGUGGUUUAAUUCGAUGAUACGCGAGGAACCUUACCAAGGCUUAAAUGUAGUUUGACCGAUUUGGAAACAGAUUUUUCGCAAGACAAAUUACAAGGUGCUGCAUGGUUGUCGUCAGCUCGUGCCGUGAGGUGUCAGGUUAAGUCCUAUAACGAGCGCAACCCCUGUUGUUAGUUGCCAGCGAGUCAUGUCGGGAACUCUAACAAGACUGCCAGUGCAAACUGUGAGGAAGGUGGGGAUGACGUCAAAUCAUCACGGCCCUUACGCCUUGGGC